rnacentral:rRNA from 1 species
GUGCCAGCAGCCGCGGUAAAACGUAGGUGGCGAGCGUUAUCCGGAUUUACUGGGCGUAAAGCGUGUGCAGGCGGACGAGCAAGUGGUGUAUGAAAGCUCCAGGCUUAACCUGGAGAGGUUAGGCCAGACUGCUCGACUAGAGGCAGAGAGAGGGACAUGGAAUUCCGGGUGUAGUGGUGAAAUGCGUAGAGAUCCGGAGGAACUCCAGAGGCGAAGGCGGUGUCCUGGCUCUGACCUGACGCUCAGACACGAAAGCAUGGGGAGCGAACGGGAGGAUAAACCACCGGAUUAC